ensembl:snoRNA small nucleolar RNA SNORA65
CCCGCCACUAUGCCUGUCUAAUGGUGACUGAGUAUGAUCCAGUGGAGGCUCAGAUUGACCCAGCUUUAGGAAACAGGGCUGCUCAAACUAAUGGACAAUGACUCUGUGCCGAAAGUUUGGAACAUAA